rnacentral:tRNA from 1 species
CAGAAUGUAGCUUAACUAAAAGCUGAUUAGUUACAUUAAUAGGAUAAUAAUUGUAAUUCUUUCUGA